rnacentral:rRNA from 1 species
CGCAAUCAAUUGUCCCAUAAAUCGAGACUUGUAUGAAUGGCUAAACGAGGUCUUAACUGUCUCUUACAGAUAAUCAGUGAAAUUGAUCCCCCUGUGCAAAAGCAGGAAUAAACACAUAAGACGAGAAGACCCUGUGGAACUUAAAAAUCAGUAGCCACCACACACUAAAUCCCACCCUACCCAGGCCCACCACUAAAAACACUGGCUCACAUUUUUCGGUUGGGGCGACCUUGGAGAAAAGCAAAACCUCCAAAAAUAAGAGCAACUUCUCUUGACCAAGAACAACCCCUCAACGUACAAACAGUAACCUGACCCAAUACAAUUGACCAAUGGACCAAGCUACCCCAGGGAUAACAGCGCAAUCUCCUUCAAGAGCCCAUAUCGCCAAGGAGGUUUACGACCUCGAUGUUGGAUCAGGACACCCUAAUGGUGCAGCCGCUAUUAAGGGUUCGUUUGUUCAACGAU